AAGAGCAUCAACAACGGCGGGUGCAAUGGCGGGAUCGAGCCCGGCCUAUCGCACCCGCCAGCGUUGCCGAACCCGGGAGCGAUGGAGAGGGAGCAAGCGGGCGCACCGGGUGCGAAGGAGGGGCGGUGGCAACACGCGCCCCUUUUCAAGCAAAAAAAAAACUAUAUCAAAAAUAAAAUUAAAUCCAUUGCACCCAAGUGGGUGCAAUACCAUUGCUGGAAUGGGUGCAAUAGAAGUGGGGACCAC
rnacentral:lncRNA from 1 species